GAUGAAGAACGCAGCGAAAUGCGAUAAGUAGUGUGAAUUGCAGAAUUCAGUGAAUCAUCGAAUCUUUGAACGCACAUUGCGCCCCUUGGUAUUCCAUGGGGCAUGCCUGUUCGAGCGUCAUUUGUACCUUCAAGCCUUGCUUGGUGUUGGGUGUUUGUCUCGCCUCUGCGCGCAGACUCGCCUCAAAACAAUUGGCAGCCGGCGUAUUGAUUUCGGAGCGCAGUACAUCUCGCGCUUUGCACUCACAACGGCGGCAUCCAAAAGUACAUUUUUACACUCUUGACCUCGGAUCAGGUAGGGAUACCCGCUGAACUUAAGCAUAUCAAUAAGCGGAGGA
rnacentral:misc_RNA from 1 species